CCUACGGGUGGCAGCAGUGGGGAAUAUUGCACAAUGGGGGAAACCCUGAUGCAGCAACGCCGCGUGCAGGAAGACGGUUUUCGGAUUGUAAACUUCUGUUCUUAGUGAAGAAUAAUGACGGUAGCUAAGGAGCAAGCCACGGCUAACUACGUGCCAGCAGCCGCGGUAAUACGUAGGUGGCAAGCGUUGUCCGGAAUUACUGGGUGUAAAGGGAGUGCAGGCGGGAAGCCAAGUCAGCUGUGAAAACUACGGGCUUAACUUGUAGACUGCAGUUGAAACUGGUUUUCUUGAGUGCUGGAGAGGCAAUCGGAAUUCCGUGUGUAGCGGUGAAAUGCGUAGAUAUACGGAGGAACACCAGUGGCGAAGGCGGAUUGCUGGACAGUAACUGACGCUGAGGCGCGAAAGCGUGGGGAGCAAACAGGAGUAGAUACCCGUGUAGUC
rnacentral:rRNA from 1 species